rfam:Verrucomicrobia subdivision 6 bacterium BACL9 MAG-120924-bin69 contig02724_1_120924-bin69, whole genome shotgun sequence.
GGUCCCAUAGCUCAAGAGGAUAGAGCAACGGUUUCCUAAACCGUGGAUCCCCGUUCGAUUCGGGGUGGGACCA